UCAGGACGAACGCUGGCGGCAUGCCUAACACAUGCAAGUCGAACGGGGGUAGCAAUACCCUAGUGGCGAACGGGUGAGUAACACAUAAGCAAUCUGCCCUUCACAGGGGGAUAACAGCGGGAAACUGCUGCUAAUACCGCAUAAGACCACGGUACCGCAUGGUACAGGGGUAAAAACGAAUCAGUGGUGAAGGAUGAGCUUAUGUCCCAUUAGCUAGUUGGUGAGAUAACAGCCCACCAAGGCGACGAUGGGUAGCCGACCUGAGAGGGUGAUCGGCCACACUGGAACUGAGACACGGUCCAGACUCCUACGGGAGGCAGCAGUGGGGAAUAUUGGGCAAUGGAGGAAAAACCUCUUACCCAGCAAUGCCGCGUGAGUGAAGAAGGUCUUCGGAUUGUAAAGCUCUUUGAUUGGGGACGAAGAAAGUGACGGUACCCAAAGAACAAGCCCCGGCUAACUACGUGCCAGCAGCCGC
rnacentral:rRNA from 1 species